AUCCUAGCCGAAGCGCGGACCUCAGUCCCGGCUGGCCGUAUUACACCCUGGGCUAUAACACCUCCACCGAAGUGGAGGCCACAUUCCCAGAGCCUUUAUCCGGCCGCCGAAACUGAUGCUGGCCUGUCCAAACUGAGUAAACCGGUCAGAAGACCGGCCGAACAGUUUAAACAAGUCUGAUUGCAAGCGCUUCCCUUUCAACAAUUUCACGUGCUUUUUAACUCUCUUUCCAAAGUGCUUUUCAUCUUUCGAUCACUCUACUUGUGCGCUAUCGGUCUCUCGCCAAUAUUUAGCUUUAGAAGAAAUUUACCUCCCAUUUAGAGCUGCAUUCCCAAACAACUCGACUCGUCGAAGGAGAUUUACAUAGGGUGCCAUUUCCUGUCACAUACGGGAUUCUCACCCUCUAUGACGUCCUGUUCCAAGGAACUUAGACAGGCGGCUUCCCCAAAUCAUCCUCUACAAAUUACAAUGCGAACCCGAAGGCUAGCUUUCAAAUUUGAGCUGUUGCCGCUUCACUCGCCGUUACUAGGGC
rnacentral:rRNA from 1 species